GUUCAUCUCCUUUCUCCUGAGUUCUAAGUUGGAGAAGGGCAGGUGAGCAAGGUUGGUGGGGUCUGCAGUGUUAGUUCCCAUUUUGUCAGAUAACACAAUCUCCUCCCAUCAAAUGAUUACCUAAGAAGGUUUCAUUGAAAGAUGAUGAGAAAUCAGUGUUUUGGUUGGUAAAUGUUUCCAAAAUCUGGAGAUUCUUAUUAGGGACACAGAAGUCUGAAUGAGAGUAGUCCAAGAACAAUCC